AACGAACGCUGGCGGCAUGCCUAACACAUGCAAGUCGAACGAGACCUUCGGGUCUAGUGGCGCACGGGUGCGUAACGCGUGGGAACCUGCCCUUAGGUUCGGAAUAACUCUCCGAAAGGGGUGCUAAUACCGGAAAAUGUCUUCUGACCAAAGAUUUAUCGCCUUUGGAUGGGCCCGCGUUGGUUUAGCCAGUUGGUAGGGUAAAAGCCUACCAAGGCGAGGAUCCAUAGCUGGUCUGAGAGGAUGAUCAGCCACACUGGGACUGGGACACGGCCCAGACUCCUACGGGAGGCAGCAGUGGGGAAUAUUGGACAAUGGGCGGAAGCCUGAUCCAGCAAUGCCGCGUGAGUGAUGAAGGCCUUAGGGUUGUAAAGCUCUUUUACCCGGGAUGAUAAUGACAGUACCGGGAGAAUAAGCUCCGGCUAACUCCGUG
rnacentral:rRNA from 1 species